ACUCCUUAAUAAGAUGAAUCCGUGUCACCAACAAUAAGUCAUGCUGCCUCUGCUUCCUGUCGCCUCCUGACAGGUCUCUGGUGCCAUCCCGUUCUUCUCUGCAGACAAUUAUUGUGAUAACCGCAUCCAGGCCAUCAAAGAAACAGCUCAGCGAUUGCCAUGACAACCUGAAGAGAGGACGCACUGUACAGCCACCCAGAGCGGGGACAGAGGGUCCCUGUGACAGCAAGACAGCAUGAGACAAAGGACACAGAUGGAGCUCAGUAACCCAGUAUGAGGCGAACCACCGAUACAUGCGUGUUGUUGGCAAAGAUUCCUUCAUCACGCAUCCUUCCACCUGUGUCUACUUCAGCAAAACAUCAUUUGGCGUAACCGACUUUCCCAAUAAACCAGACGUUUCCACUUCAAUCGCCUCUCUGCUGCCCCACAGACCUGGUAGCUCGCCCGUUACCUGUGGUCAGCUUGACACAAACCAAGGUUACCCGGGAACCUCAACUGAAGAGCUGCCUCAUCAGACCGGCCUGUAUGCAAGUCUGUGCGGCCGGUCUCUUGAACGACAGUUGGUGGAAGGAAUUCACAGUGGGCCAUGAAACCCCUGCAACAGGUUGUCCUACGACGCAUGAUAAAGCAAGCGGAGUGAGCCACGGAGAAA
rnacentral:lncRNA from 1 species